AAUGAAUAUAAAGAAAAUGAAAAUAUUGCAUAUACUUCUCUGAGACCGAUACAGAUUACAACUAGAAGGAAAACAGCUAAGGUUUAUCUCUACCCGUUUUCGCUCAGCAACCCCAAGCUAGGCCUGUUUAAGUUGUCCAAAUCCCCGGUUGAGAACAAGUCUAGCAGUGAAAUGGUCCAAAAAAAGACAGAUCAGAAGAAAACUUGUAGAAGGGUUUUAACUUCAAAGAUGAAGGCCUUAUCUUCCAAGGCAGAGUCCCGCCUGCUGAAACCGUCUUUGGAUUCUCAUACUGAAAGUAGCGAGCUGGAACACAAGAGCACCUCGGAUCCAGUGACUCCUAGUGUGGACAUGGAGAGCAGCGACGAAGACAGCGCACCAGGCCCGGAUGAUUUUUCAGGAUUGUCACCUUAUGAGAGGAAGAGAAUGAAGAACAUCAGAGAAAACGCAAACUUUUUUGCUUCCCUUCAGUUAGCUGAGUCAGCUGCAAGGCUCCGUGGAAUGAUAAAGAAGAACCAGCCACCUGAAUCAAAGAGAAAGAGGCCUAAGAAGAAAGAAAAUGAAGUCGGAUGUCGAAGGUCCAUGCGGUUGUUGAAAGUAGACCCUUUGGGAGUUUCAUUGCCAGCAUCUCUAACACAGCCAACGCUCGUAGAAGAAGAGACUCCUAUGAUACCUCCUGGACCCUUAGAAAUGAUUCCUGAAAACCAAGAUGACCGCAGCGAACUGUUCAAAGCCUCUCUGAAGACAUGGGCAGAGAUGAGUCAGACAAGUAAUGAGAAGACCGAGAAGGGGCUAUCUAGUAUUAAAAGCUACAAAGCCAGUUUAAGUGGUAUGGUCGUCAGCGAAGCCACUGUUCGUAAGGUGACCAAAGGAGCGAUCUCCUCUGUGGCUAUCCAUCCAUCGGGAGUGAGGACCUUGGUAGCAGCUGGGUCCAAGUCUGGACAAGUUGGACUCUGGGAUUUGACCCAGCAGAGUGAAGAUGGGGCGUAUGCCUUCUGUCCUCACAGCCAGCCUGUUAGCUGCCUUUCCUUCUCACCCACCAACCCAGCCCACCUACUGUCCCUGAGCUAUGACGGCACCGUGCACUGUGGCGAUUUUUCCACGGCUGUGUUUGAAGAGGUGUACAGGAACGAGAGAAAUAGCCUGUCCUCCUUUGACUUCUUGGACGAUGCCUCUACUCUGCUAGUGGGACACUGGAGUGGACAUUUGUCACUGGUGGAUAGAAGGACACCUGGGACUUCUUACGAGAAGUUUAUAAAUUCGUCUUUGGAAAAAAUCAGAACUGUUCAUGUCCACCCGUUAUCCAGACAGUAUUUUAUCACGGCAGGAUUGAGGGACGUUCAUGUUUAUGAUGUCAGGUGCCUGAAGUCCGGGAAAAGCCAGCCUUUGAUCUCCCUGACUGAGCACUCUAAGAGCAUCGCCUCUGCGUACUUCUCCCCCAUUACUGGUAACUGAAUGGUGACCACAUGUGCUGACUGUAAGCUCAGGGUCUUUGACAGUAGCUCCUUAUCUUCCCAGUUUCCUCUCGUCAGCACCAUCAGGCACAACACUAUCACUGGGAGGUGGCUAACAAGGUUCCAAGCUGUGUGGGACCCUAAACAAGAAGAUUGCUUCACAGUUGGUAGCAUGGCCCACCCACGGCGGGUAGAAGUCUUCUGCGAGACGGGGAAGAACGUGCAUUCUUUUGGGGGAGAGUGUCUUGUAUCUGUGUGUUCCCUCAGUGUUAUGCACCCUACACGAUAUAUUCUGGCUGGAGGUAAUUGCAGUGGGAGGUUACAUGUUUUUAUGCACCAAGAAACCUGAGUUAUGGGGUAGGGUCAACAAACUGUUCCAAUUGCUCUGUAGCUAAGGAACCUAGAGACUUGUUGGACUCAACUUCGUGCAUCUGUCUGGUCGUGUAGCAUACUUAGUAAAUAGAGCAUUGCUUUCCCAGGGAGACCUCCAUGCAGAAUGUGCUAAGAUGUUCCAGUGCACUUGUCCGCUUCCAGCACUUCUAAUUAGGCUGUACUUUUCAAAAUUCUAACAUUCUAAAGCUUUCAGUGGUCAUUAUUAACCUUUUGUGGCAUAAUGAGACCAUUUUGAUGCAAUAGUAAUCUGUAGAUCUGUGAUUUACUUAGUUUGGGGUAAAUAUUUAUUUCUCAACACUGGACUAGGUCCUAAAAGGUCAUCUAAUUAUGAAACAUUAUUGAACUGCAGAGACUGUCUCAUGUUUGACAAGUAUUCUGCUGACUCAUACCCCACCUUUGAAACUUAAAUGGUUGUUUUGCUUUGUUCUUGAGACUGGAUCUUGCUAUGUAGCCGAGGUUGGCUUUGAACUUGGUCCUUCUGCCUCACUUUUCCAAGUGCUAGGACUGUAGGUAUGUACUACAUGCCCAGCCAGAACUUAGUUUCAUAAGCUAAGAGCUGUUUUUGAGUCCUUGUAUCUCAGUUCAGUGUUACUUGAAAUCCCAGAAUAGUCACUGGAGAACAGAUGGCUUCUAUGACUCGGGCCCACUUGGAGCUCUGUCCUCUGCCUCUGGGUAGCUCCUGAAAUGGCCCGGGACAGCACUGUGUUUUAACUCACACC